CUUGGUCAUUUAGAGGAAGUAAAAGUCGUAACAAGGUCUCCGUUGGUGAACCAGCGGAGGGAUCAUUACAGGACUCGCAAGACUCCUUACACCCUGUGAACUUUACUGUAUACGCGUUGCUUCGGCGGGUCCGCCCGCCGGCAGCAUACCACAUUCUGUUUCUCUGCGUUGGCAUCUCGAGAAAAAAGCAAAUAAGUUAAAACUUUCAACAACGGAUCUCUUGGUUCUGGCAUCGAUGAAGAACGCAGCGAAAUGCGAUAAGUAAUGCGAAUUGCAGAAUUCCGUGAGUCAUCGAAUCUUUGAACGCACAUUGCGCCCGCCAGUAUUCUGGCGGGCAUGCCUGUUCGAGCGUCAUUGCAACCCCUCAGGCCCUGCCUGGCGUUGGAGGACUGCGCUACGCAGCCUCCCAAAGCAAGCGGCGGCGGCGCCCCAAAUCCGAACGCAGUAGUUACCUCUCGUUCUGGGUGCUGGGACGGCGUCCGGCCGGAAAACCCCCAUCUAUAUCGUGGUUGACCUCGAAUCAGGUAGGAAUACCCGCUGAACUUAAGCAUAUCAAUAAGCGGAGGA
rnacentral:rRNA from 1 species